AUUGAACGCUGGCGGCAGGCUUAACACAUGCAAGUCGAGCGGGGUGAUGGUGCUUGCACUAUCACUUAGCGGCGGACGGGUGAGUAAUGCUUAGGAAUCUGCCUAUUAGUGGGGGACAACAUCUCGAAAGGGAUGCUAAUACCGCAUACGUCCUACGGGAGAAAGCAGGGGAUCACUUGUGACCUUUCGCUAAUAGAUGAGCCUAAGUCGGAUUAGCUAGUUGGUGGGGUAAAGGCCUACCAGGGCGACGAUCUGUAGCGGGUCUGAGAGGAUGAUCCGCCACACUGGGACUGAGACACGGCCCAGACUCCUACGGGAGACAGCAGUGGGGAAUAUUGGACAAUGGGGGGAACCCUGAUCCAGCCAUGCCGCGUGUGUGAAGAAGGCCUUAUGGUUGUAAAGCACUUUAAGCGAGGAGGAGGCUCUUUUGGUUAAUACCCAAGAUGAGUGGACGUUACUCGCAGAAUAAGCACCGGCUAACUCUGUGCCAGCCGCCGCAGUAA
rnacentral:rRNA from 1 species